rnacentral:rRNA from 1 species
GACGAACGCUGGCGGCGUGCUUAACACAUGCAAGUCGAACGGAAAGGCCCUGCUCUUGUGGGGUGCUCGAGUGGCGAACGGGUGAGUAACACGUGAGUAACCUGCCCUUGACUUUGGGAUAACUUCAGGAAACAGGGGCUAAUAUCGGAUAGGAUAUCUUGCUGCGUGGUGGGGGUUGGAAAGUUUCGGCGGUGCGGGAUGUACUCGCGGCUUAUCCGCUUGUUGGUGGGGUAGUGGCUUACCAAGGCUUUGACGGGUAGCCGGCAUGAGAGGGUGACCGGCGACCAUGGGACUGCGAGACGGACCAGUCGCGUACGGGCGGCAGUAGGGGGAAAUCUGGCGGAAUGGGGCGAAGUGUGUGACGGCAGCCCUCGGUGCGGGAUGACGGCUUACGAGUUAUAAACCGCUUUCGCCUGUGACGAAGCGUGAGUGACGGUAAUGGGUAAAGAAGCACCGGCUAACUACGUG